ensembl:lncRNA
CUGGGCGGCGCGGCGGCCGCUCCUCCUCCUGCAGCCGCCAUCCAGCGAGCCGCGGCGGCGGUACCGAGCGGUUAUAAGUGUCAUUCAGACACCAGUCUUCUGAGAUGGGAAAGACCAAUGAUGAAAAGACCAGUGAUGUUUCUUCACUCCUUUCAGAAGAUAUUAACUGCAAGGUCUUUCCUGUCUUGCAAGAGUUUGGGCGUUGCAGAGAACAACAGGUGAAGGCGUGAAGUGCAACACUGAGAAAACAUGCACAUGCACAUAGGAUAAUCUCAGUGUCCCAGUUGUGCACUUGCAUGGCUAGGUAAAACAGAACAAAACAAGACAGCAACCUGAAGGGGACAGAGUGAGUGACUGGCUAGGUCCUAGCUGCCUGCUGGGGCCACCCUCCAAAGCCACUUCUGGGACUGGAGAAGUAAGAUGUGAUGCCUUGGCAGUUGUUGAAUUUUUGAAACAGAGAACAGUCCUCCCAGUUUUCCUGUUUCACUGAUCUCAGAUUACACAUGCAUUACCUGUGAUCCUUGGAAAUGUAACAAGGUGAUCUUGUUCUGCACGUUACUUUCAGCAACAGCUGAUAAAAUGUACCUAAUGAAUAUCUUACGCUUUUCACAGGUAAUCAUGAUGCACUUUACAGUGGCUUAGUUAAAAUUUUCUCUUCUUACAGAGCUUUAAAUUUGCUAAGCAGCAAGGAAUCAUUGAAUCACAGAUUGGCUUGGGGUGGAAGGGAACUUAAAGAUCAUCUAGUUCAAACCCCCCUGCCAUAGUCAGGGCUGCUACCCAGUAGAUUGGGUUACCCAGGGCCCCAUCCAAUAACAGCUCUUCUGCAAAGUUUGCCAAUGUAUCUGCUGUUUAUAAUAGUACUGGGAGUAUUUUUCAUUCUUAAAUCAGCUAUUGGAACAAUGAAGUAAUUUUGAGCUAUGCUGUUUCUUAACAUGCUUUUUGAGCAGUAAUUACUUCAUCAUCACCUGCAAAAUCUUGCAGUGCUGGAAAAUUAAAACAAUUAUCCUAACAAGUUUUCUAUGAGAUUUUUCAUCCAAGCACAUUCAGAGUGCUAGCUUCUCCAUGAAAAUCUAUUUCUACACCCAAAGUUAUUCUUGCUUUACUCAGACAUUCUCCAGAAUUAUUUAAAGAGCUCUCUAUCAAAACGAUGACUUGUCUCUAGCCAGUCACAAAUACAGAUUUGGCUUGGUCACCAAAAGUCUCCCCUGGAGGUAUUCACCUGAGUUCCUCAUCUCUGCAAAAAUCACAAACGUUUAAAACCUUCAGUCUCCAAGUUAUUAAAUUAUUAUUAAAUUAAACUAUUGAGAAUAGUUUCUGAGUAUUUUUGAUAAUAUAUCAUUGUUAAGGUUGGAUUCCUAUUUACACUGAUCUAACCCUGCAAUUGAAGUUGGUAGAAAACAUACAUGAACCACGGAAAAAUUAUUCCAGUUACCUCCUGUGAUACAAUCAUAGAAUCAUUUGAGUUGGAAGGGAACCUUUAAGAUCAUCUAGUCCAACUCCCCUGCAAUGAACAGGGACACCCACAGUUCCAUCAGGUGCUCGAUCCAGCCUGACCUUGGCUGUCUGCAGGGAUGGGGUACCAUCACCUCUCUGGGCAACCUGUGCCACUGUCAUUAUUGUAAAUAAGGACAAUGUAAACUUAUACCCAGGCUAAAUCGGCCCUCUUUUAGUUUGAAGUCAUUACCGCUUGUCCUAUCACAACAUAGCCAUCUAAAGAGCAGGGCUGUGCUCUAUCCUUUUAUCCCCCAGCUUGUACUGAUAGUGGGGCUUGCCAUGGCCCUGGUGCAAGACUUUGCAAUUGGAUCUGUUGAACCUCAUGAGAUUCUCCUGGGCCCACUGCUCAGCCUGUCUAGAUCUGUCUGGAUGGCAUCCCAUCCCUUAGGCAUGUUGACCACACUACACAGCUUGGUCCUGGUGUGGUUCUCAUGGUGGGCUGCAUGGACCACGCUCCAACACACUCUCUUCUUUAAGUCUCAGGAACUGAAACACGAUCUCCUCCUUCUGUGAUCCUGGUGCUGCAGGGUUGUUUCUCUCACAUUUUUCCCUCACUCCUCUGCUUAUCAAGCAUUUCUGCCUUCUCUCAAUUCUGUUUUCCCAGAGGUGUCACCAGCAUUACUGGUAGGCUCCUCUGUGGCUGUGAUGGGGCUACUGCAGAGCCAACUGGACCAGGCUGGAACCAGCUGUGCCUGACACUGGACAGCCCCUGAUCUCCUCUCACAGGCUGCUGCCAACACCUAGAUGUGGACACCCAGUAGAACACUGGUGUGGAAUACUUUGGAAAGCACAUAUCCAUAAGAUUAAGGAUAUACUGACUUAUCUCUGUUAAAAGAACUGAAGUUGCGGGUUGUAAGAGAUUAUUCUUUUGUAUCAUUGACUCAAAGUUUGCUGAGGAACAAGUCCAGGCAAGUCCUGGGCAAAGGCAGAGAAAUCCUUUGUCUUGCGGACACUGAUGGACAGGUCCUGGCUAAGGAUUGUGAAAUCCUCUAAGGAGCACAGAUGGACAAGGCCAGGGGCAACGAGAGAGAGAUAAGCUGCUGCUAAUGGCCGGGAAACGGUCUUUUUGUGUGGACUUAUCUCGAGGAAGAUGGCCAUCUAAGGAGGUAUGCACAGGACUCUUGCUCAAGCACCCAGGAAUGUCACGUAGGCAGGAGAAAAAUGGAGGAUAAAAGAGGGUCCAACAACCACGGCAGAGUAGAGGCUGAUCUCUCACCACGACUCGAGCUUUCUGCCUUCAGAUCCUUCUCUACGGACCGUUUGCUGACGGACUUCCCUGGGCCUGCUACCUGAGACUUGCUGCUUCCUCCCUGACCUGCACCCUCUCGUUGCCCAAGACCGGCCUCGCUGCUCCUGCCCUUCGGCCUCGGACCGUCGGAACGUCGUGCAACGGGACUACUGCCGGAUCCUGGUGGUGACUAUCCCCGCUUUACGCAAUUCUUGCUUCUUUCUAUCUUUUCUAUCGCUCGCCUUCCCUUCCCCAUCACCCCAAUCCUUAAUAGUGUCCAUCCUCCCCUUUCUUCAUCUCCCUUAUUAACACUUGUAAUAAACUGGUCGGAC